AACCGUCAGGGGUAAACUGAGGAACCCAAAAGAUCGAAUGGGGAGAUUCAUCGCCAGCGACGUUGGCUACGCCGACGGCUCGUGAUGCCUGGGAUCUCGGUCCCGAGGCACGCGGUCGUUGCGUUGCGUCCGGCGGCGUCGGCGUGCACUUCUCCCCUAGUAGAACGUCGCGACCCGUUGGGUGCCGGUCCUACGGCCCGGGCGGAUGCCUGUCGCAUCGCUUCGGCGUGUGCGGCAGACCCCCGGUGUUCCAUCGACCCGGCUGCCCGGCGGUACUCCCAUGGUAUCGGGCCGCAAAUUCGAACUGCGUCGGGCCCACAUUGUCCGUGGCUCGGAUGAUCGGUGGCACGGACCCAGUGCCGUCCCCGUCACUGACCGCGUGUGGCGUGUGGUGUCCUCCGACUGGCCAUACACCUCGAAACUUGAUACCGGUCGGCGACGCUACUGCUUUGGGUAAUCUCAGGACCCGUCUUGAAACACGGACCAAGGAGUCUAACAUGUGCGCGAGUCAUUGGGACAGCAAGCCUAAAGGCGAAAUGAAAGUGAAGGUCGGCCCUCGCGCCGACCGAGGGAGGAUGGGCCGCGUCACGAUGCGGCUCCGCACUCCCGGGGCGUCUCGUUCUCAUUGCGAGAAGAGGCGCACCCAGAGCGUACACGUUGGGACCCGAAAGAUGGUGAACUAUGCCUGGUCAGGACGAAGUCAGGGGAAACCCUGAUGGAGGUCCGUAGCGAUUCUGACGUGCAAAUCGAUCGUCGGAACUGGGUAUAGGGGCGAAAGAC
rnacentral:rRNA from 1 species